rnacentral:lncRNA from 1 species
GGAUUGAGAUUCCCUGCAGUUAAAAACCACAAAGUUUGACGCUGUUUUCAAACUCGGCUGUCCAUUAUUAAUCGGACGGUUCAGAUCAAUAAAGUUAAAAAGUGAUUCAAAAUGAUCUGAACCACACAUUUGAGAUCAGACGGCUGUAAUUUAAAACUGCGUGAAAACAGUGGCUAACUUUACAGCAUGAAAUCUGAUCCC